rnacentral:rRNA from 1 species
UUCCGGUUGAUCCUUGCGGGCACCGAAUGCUAUUCGGGUGAGGAUAAGCCAUGCGAGUUGAAUGGAAUACCUAAAUUUCCCAUAGCAAACUGCUCAGUAACACAUGAUCAACUUGCCCUAUAGAGAAAAAUAACCUCGGGAAACUGAGGAUAAUAUUUCAUAGUUGAAAAGGCUUGGAAAAGUUUUUCAAUCAAAGGGAUAAAAAAAAAUGGUUUUAUCUGCUAUAGGAUAGGAUCGUGCUCGAUUAUGGUUGUUGGUGAGGUAAUGGCUCACCAAGCCGAUAAUCGAUAGGGGCCGUGAGAGCGGGUGCCCCGAGAUGGGUACUGAGACAACGACCCAGGUCUUACGAGACGCAGCAGGCGCGAAACCUCCGCAAUACACGAAAGUGUGACGGGGUUACCCAAAGUGUUCAAUUUUGAACUGUGGUAGGUGAGUAAUGUCCCCUACUAGAAAGGAGAGGGCAAGGCUGGUGCCAGCCGCCGCGGUAAAACCAGCUCUUCAAGUGGUCGGGAUAAUUAUUGGGCUUAAAGUGUCCGUAGCCGGUUUAGUAAGUUCCUGGUAAAAUCGGGUAGCUUAACUAUCCGUAUGCUAGGAAUACUGCUAUACUAGAGGGCGGGAGAGGUCUGAGGUACUAUAGGGGUAGGGGUGAAAUCCUAUAAUCCUUGUAGGACCACCAGUGGCGAAGGCGUCAGACUGGAACGCGCCUGACGGUGAGGGACGAAAGCCAGGGGAGCGAACCGGAUUAGAUACCCGGGUAGUCCUGGCCGUAAACGAUGCAUACUAGGUGAUGGCACGGCCAUGAGCCGUGUCAGUGCCGUAGGGAAA